rnacentral:rRNA from 1 species
CCUACGGGUGGCAGCAGUGGGGAAUAUUGGACAAUGGGCGAAAGCCUGAUCCAGCCAUGCCGCGUGUGUGAAGAAGGCCUUCGGGUUGUAAAGCACUUUCAGUGGGGAAGAAAGCCUUGGGGCUAAUACCCUCGAGGAAGGACAUCACCCACAGAAGAAGCACCGGCUAACUCCGUGCCAGCAGCCGCGGUAAUACGGAGGGUGCGAGCGUUAAUCGGAAUUACUGGGCGUAAAGCGCGCGUAGGCGGUCUGAUAAGCCGGUUGUGAAAGCCCCGGGCUCAACCUGGGAACGGCAUCCGGAACUGUCAGGCUAGAGUGCAGGAGAGGAAGGUAGAAUUCCCGGUGUAGCGGUGAAAUGCGUAGUGAUCGGGAGGAAUACCAGUGGCGAAGGCGGCCUUCUGGACUGACACUGACGCUGAGGUGCGAAAGCGUGGGUAGCAAACAGGAUUAGAUACCCCAGUAGUC